rnacentral:pre_miRNA from 1 species
AGCUAUCCAUGUGUGGAUAGUGUUCAGCACUAAGAACAGGCGGCAUGUGUACCUGUAUGUGUGUGUGUGUGGAUGGUGUUCAGUACCAAGGACAGGUAUGUUUACCU